rnacentral:tRNA from 1 species
GGUGGAAUUAGUUUAAUAGGUAAAAUGAUAUCUUGUGGCGAUAAUGUUCAGAGUUCGAGUCUCUGAUUCCACA